rnacentral:rRNA from 1 species
AUUGAACGCUGGCGGCAGGCCUAACACAUGCAAGUCGAGCGAGCGGCGGACGGGUGCGUAAUGCCUAGGAAUCUGCCUGGUCGCGGGGGAUAACUACUGGCAACGGUGGCUAAUACCGCAUACUCUCGGCCGAACCCAUAUGGGAUUAGCUAGUAGGUGGGGUAAAGGCACACCUAGGCGACGCUCUCUAGCUGGUCUGAGAGGAUGAUCAGCCACAGUGGAACUGAGACACGGCCCAGACUGCAACGGGAGGCAGCAGUGGGGAAGAUUGCACAAUGGGCGCAAGCCUGAUGCAGACAUGCCGGGGGGAUGAAGAAGGCCUUAGGGUUGUAAAGUACUUUCAGCGGGGAGGCGUGACCCGAAGAAGAAGCACCGGCUAACUCCGUGCCAGCAGCCGCGGUAAUUC